rnacentral:rRNA from 1 species
UACGUAGGGGGCUAGCGUUGUCCGGAAUCAUUGGGCGUAAAGAGCGUGUAGGCGGCCCGGUAAGUCCGCUGUGAAAGUCGGGGGCUCAACCCUCGAAUGCCGGUGGAUACUGUCGGGCUAGAGUGCGGAAGAGGCGAGUGGAAUUCCUGGUGUAGCGGUGAAAUGCGCAGAUAUCAGGAGGAACACCAAUUGCGAAGGCAGCUCGCUGGGACGUAACUGACGCUGAGACGCGAAAGCUAGGGGAGCGAACAGG